GAGUUUGAUCCUGGCUCAGGACGAACGCUGGCGGCAUGCCUAACACAUGCAAGUCGAACGAGAAAGUUCCUUCGGGAGCAAUUAAAGUGGCGCACGGGUGAGUAACGCGUAGACAAUCUGCCCUUCAGUCUGGGACAACUUUUCGAAAGGAGAGCUAAUACCGGAUAACAAUGCAUGACACAAGUUGUAUAUUUGAAAGCUUUAUGUGCUGAAGGAGGGGUCUGCGUCCCAUUAGCUAGUUGGUAAGGUAAAGGCUUACCAAGGCAACGAUGGGUAGCGGGUUUGAGAGGACGAUCCGCCACACUGGAACUGAGACACGGUCCAGACUCCUACGGGAGGCAGCAGUGGGGAAUAUUGCACAAUGGAGGAAACUCUGAUGCAGCAAUGUCGCGUGAGUGAAGAAGGCCCUUGGGUCGUAAAGCUCUUUUAUGGGGGAAGAUGAUGACGGUACCCCAAGAAUAAGCACCGGCUAACUAUGUGCCAGCAGCCGCGGUAAUACAUAGGGUGCGAGCGUUGUUCGGAAUUACUGGGCGUAAAGGGCGCGCAGGCGGAAUAGUAAGUCGGAGGUGAAAGCCCGGGGCUCAACCCCGGAGGGUCUUUCGAAACUACUAAUCUAGAGAGGGUCAGGGGCCGGCAGAAUUCCUGGUGUAGAGGUGAAAUUCGUAGAUAUCAGGUUCGACCCUUCUGGGUGUCUCAGCUAACGCAUUAAGUGCUCCGCCUGGGGAGUACGGUCGCAAGACUAAAGCUCAAAGGAAUUGACGGGGGCCCGCACAAGCGGUGGAACAUGUGGUUUAAUUCGAUGCAACGCGAAGAACCUUACCUGGUCUUGACAUCCUCGGACCGCUUCAGAGAUGAAGUUUCCUCUUCGGAGGCCGAGUGACAGGUGCUGCAUGGCUGUCGUCAGCUCGUGUCGUGAGAUGUUGGGUUAAGUCCCGCAACGAGCGCAACCCCUACCCUUAAUUGCCAUCGGGUUAUGCCGGGCACUUUAGGGGGACUGCCGGCGACAAGCCGGAGGAGGGUGGGGAUGACGUCAAAUCCUCAUGGCCUUUAUGACCAGGGCUACACACGUGUUACAAUGGGAGUUACAGAGGGAAGCUAAGCCGCGAGGCCAUGCCAAUCCCAGAAAAACUUUCUCAGUUCGGAUCGCAGUCUGCAACUCGACUGCGUGAAGCUGGAAUCGCUAGUAAUCGCGGAUCAGCACGCCGCGGUGAAUACGUUCCCGGGCCUUGUACACACCGCCCGUCACACCAUGGGAGCCGACAAGGGCAGAAGUCGCCGAGCUAACCUUCGGGAAGCAGGCGCCCAAGCUGUUGUUGACGACUGGGGUGAAGUCGUAACAAGGUAGCCGUAGGAGAACCUGCGGCUGGAUCACCUCCUUUCU
rnacentral:rRNA from 1 species